AGUGAACGCUGGCGGUAGGCCUAACACAUGCAAGUCGAACGGCAGCACAGGAGAGCUUGCUCUCUGGGUGGCGAGUGGCGGACGGGUGAGGAAUACAUCGGAAUCUACUCUGUCGUGGGGGAUAACGUAGGGAAACUUACGCUAAUACCGCAUACGACCUACGGGUGAAAGCAGGGGACCUUCGGGCCUUGCGCGAUUGAAUGAGCCGAUGUCGGAUUAGCUCGUUGGCGGGGUAAAGGCCCACCAAGGCGACGAUCCGUAGCUGGUCUGAGAGGAUGAUCAGCCACACUGGAACUGAGACACGUGCCAGACUCCUACGGGAGGCAGCAGUGGGGAAUAUUGGACAAUGGGCGCAAGCCUGAUCCAGCCAUACCGCGUGGGUGAAGAAGGCCUUCGGGUUGUAAAGCCCUUUUGUUGGGAAAGAAAUCCAGCUGGCUAAUACCCGGUUGGGAUGACGGUACCCAAAGAAUAAGCACCGGCUAACUUCGUGCCAGCAGCCGCAGUAA
rnacentral:rRNA from 1 species